AUGAACGCUGGCGGCGUGCCUAAUACCUGCCAGUCGCGCGAACAGACGAGGAGCUUGCUCCUCUGACGUUAGCGGCGGACGGGUGAGUAACACGUGGAUAACCUACCUAUAAGACUGGGAUAACUUCGGGAAACCGGAGCUAAUACCGGAUAAUAUAUUGAACCGCAUGGUUCAAUAGUGAAAGACGGUUUUGCUGUCACUUAUAGAUGGAUCCGCGCCGCAUUAGCUAGUUGGUAAGGUAACGGCUUACCAAGGCGACGAUGCGUAGCCGACCUGAGAGGGUGAUCGGCCACACUGGAACUGAGACACGGUCCAGACUCCUACGGGAGGCAGCAGUAGGGAAUCUUCCGCAAUGGGCGAAAGCCUGACGGAGCAACGCCGCGUGAGUGAUGAAGGUCUUCGGAUCGUAAAACUCUGUUAUUAGGGAAGAACAAAUGUGUAAGUAACUAUGCACGUCUUGACGGUACCUAAUCAGAAAGCCACGGCUAACUACGUG
rnacentral:rRNA from 1 species